rnacentral:rRNA from 1 species
GAUGAACGCUGGCGGCGUGCCUAAUACAUGCAAGUCGAGCGAACGGACGAGAAGCUUGCUUCUCUGAUGUUAGCGGCGGACGGGUGAGUAACACGUGGAUAACCUACCUAUAAGACUGGGAUAACUUCGGGAAACCGGAGCUAAUCCCGGAUAAUAUUUUGAACCGCAUGGUUCAAAAGUGAAAGACGGUCUUGCUGUCACUUCUAGAUGGUUCCGCGCUGCAUUAGCUAGUUGGUAAGGUAACGGCUUACCAAGGCAACGAUGCAUAGCCGACCUGAGAGGGUGAUCGGCCACACUGGAACUGAGACACGGUCCAGACUCCUACGGGAGGCAGCAGUAGGGAAUCUUCCGCAAUGGGCGAAAGCCUGACGGAGCAACGCCGCGUGAGUGAUGAAGGUCUUCGGAUCGUAAAACUCUGUUAUUAGGGAAGAACAUAUGUGUAAGUAACUGUGCACAUCUUGACGGUACCUAAUCAGAAAGCCACGGCUAACUACGUG